CUUACAAAGAUUCAUAAUGUACUUUGGGAUGAUUUUGCUAUUCCUUAUUCUGGGAUGCCUUUCAUAAUAGUUUCAAGUAAAGUUUUAGAUUGUCAUCAUGGGUUCGAUCGAAAUAUUUCAUUAUAAAAAAUAUCAAUAAAAGAAAAGAAAAACUAACAUGGAUGACCACUGCUUUCAAAAAAACUACGUUAUUUUACAAGAUACCAAAAAGUUCAUGUGUCCUGCAAAAAUCAAUAUGAGAGAAAUAUUGCAAUUUCCUGAUUUUAGGGCUGAACUGAUAGCUCAAAGUAUUGAUC
rnacentral:lncRNA from 1 species